GACGACGAUUCCCGUCAGGCCGCGCGCGGUCGAGCGCCCAGACGCUGCGAGGGGCUGCGGCGGGGGAGCUGGAGGCGGCGGUGGCGUCACCGCGCGGUCGAGCUGCAAGCUCCGCCCACUCCGCAGGUCCUUCUGGGACUUGUAGUUGGGCGGAGGGGCCUGGCCAGCACAGGGCUGCGUCGCCCUCAGUAGGCGAACUACAAGGCUGGUGGCGAGGAGUUCCGCCUCUUUGACAGGCUCCCAGACGCCCCCGCGCCCCGCGCCUCUGCCGCGGGGUCUGCAGGCCUGGCCGGCCUGGCUUUCGGGACGCGCCGGGCGGGUAGCCCCGGAUCUGACCCUCCAAGAAAGGCCCGGUGACCUUGGCCCGGCUGUGGGUUCGAGUCCGCAUUCCCAACUGACUGGCUAUGUGACCUUGGGUCGGGCCCGUCGCCCGAGCCCAGGUGACUCAAUGGGACGAGAAUAACCCGCCUCCGUGGGUUGGGCGAGUUCCGGAGGGCGUCUGGAAAGCGCUGGACCCGGCGGCGGUCGGUCGGGGUCCGCUCUGGGCCAGGGAACGCCGCGAGCCGGCAGACCUGGCAGUUAGCUUAGAACCCCCGGCCUGGAGGCGCCCUUCCGAGCUCGCCCUCUCCCUGCGGCCCCGUGCAGUCGUCGCCUGGACUCUUGGGGCCCUGCUGCCCUGCAAAGCACCGGAGCAGUCCAGCCAUUUCUCACGAUCUUGAACUCAUCCACCGCACAGGCCACGAACCCCGGCAGACCCUCCCGGGCCUUCCAGUGGGGCCUUUCCGCCUGGACCCUCCUUCCUGGGCCCCUUGCCCAUCUUCAACAAGCCCCAGGUACAGUUCUGCCCUAGACGGACCACAGGGGUUCUUUGCCUGGAUCCUGCGCUCUAGAGGCCCCCACCCAUCACAAACACCGAAGCACGAGAGACUUGUCUUGCCCCCUUUGGUUCCAUCACUGGUUCUGGAGCGAUGAUACAGAGGAGCAGAGGCCCUCCAUUUGCACUCUUGCCUGGGCCCCUCCCCAAGGGUUUGGACUGACCCUGCUGUUGAAGGAAGGCUGAGAGGCUGCACCUGAGGCAUAUAGAAGCUCCCAAACCAGGGAAUGCCAAAGCUGCAGCCAGAUCCCAGCCACACCAGCGCCCUAUGCAGCAGCCAUGGCAACACCAGACCCUUAACGCAUUGAGUGAGGCCAGGGAUCAAACCCAGAUCCUCAUAGAGACAAUGUCCGGUCCUUAACUGGCUGAGCCACAGAGAGAACUCCCAUCAAACUGUACUCUUCAGGGACAUGAGGAUGAGCCAGGAACAGGUGCUCUGGUGCUCCGUGGGAAGCCCUCGCUGGUGUCCUCAAGUAGAAGUGAGCCGGCGGUACACGGAACCUUAGCAAACUGCAGCACUGCUUUGACCCAGCUUGUGUGCCGUCGGACUAAGGACCAGGGGCUUCACUUCCUUGCAGAGGAAGAUGUCAAGUCUCUACAACUGUUUUAAGGCACAAGUUCAGCUUUCAGUGAAAAUUUUCUGGGUAUGUCAAGGCACAGGUCAUUUUACUGAAGAACAAUUCAGAGGUAGUCUAAGACUAUGCAAUAAUUAUAAUUAAUAUGUUCAAGAAAAUAGAGGAAAGGUGUAAAAAAUAGAUGAAAGAACGGAGUAUUGAAAUCUAAUAAACUGGAACUGAAAAAGUGACCGAAAUUAGGACUUCAAUAAAUUAAUAGAUUGAGACAUAAAGGAUUAAUGAUUUCGAUAAUGCAAUGGAGUUCCCGUUGUGGCUCAGCAGUAAUGAACCCAACUAGUAUCCAUGAGGAUGCAGGUCCAGUCCCUGGCCUUGCUCAGUGGGUUAAGAUCCGCUGUUGCUGUGAACUGUGGUGUGUGCUGUGGGUGUGGCCCUAAAACACAGAGACCAAACAAAACAAACAAAAUCUGGCAAAACAAAGUAAGACAUGUGCAAGGAAGACACAAUAACCACGGCAGAUUUACCCAAGAAGCGCACAGCGGGUGUGCAUGGGAGAAAUCAAGUGUGACACACAGUAACUGAUCCGAAAGGGGAAACUGUCUCGGGGAGGAAAGACCCCGUGGUGGCCAUGGCUCCACUGUGACCGAACAAGACAUGAGAGACAAACCUGACUGGGAGAGGAACCUCCCUUUCAUGUCAGCCAUCUAACAAGACCCUACAGCAAACAUGUCUUGCUGAAAAUGCUAACACACAAAGCUUCCCAACACCUUUUGUGUGUCAAAACUUACUGUCUUAACUUACUGUAAAACUUAUGUUCAGUAAGAAGAGUUCCAAGAUUUAGAACACUUCAUUGUGAUGUUACAGUUGUGAAUAUAGAGAAUUUAACAGAAUCCAGUCUUAUUAGAAUGACUUUAGCAAGGAUGCUGGGAUCCCUUUAAUUAUUUUUUUCAUAUUGUUCUCUCAUAUUCACAACUAGUAUGAAAAAAACAAAUUUCUAUACAGCAACAACAAAAAUGUAGUUAAGAUACCACUUAAGUUUCAAAACUAAGAAGCCUAGAAACAAGCCCCUUGUGCAGCCAGUUUUGGGGGCCCCUCUGCAGGUAGGAGCCUGUGGUACACGCCCCUGGCCCCUUCACGGGCUUCUCCUCUCCUUAGACUUGGCUACGACCCCGGCCUCCUCUGAUCCCGGCCUCAGGACACUGCUGGCCUCAGGUGGCCACCCAGGGAGUGUCUGCUCUACCUGCACUAAGGACCUUUUUCUCCUUGAGGUGCAGCUGAGCAGCCUUUCCUGUUCUCGUGGACUCCUGUUCUCCAGCUUUGCCAGUUCUGAUUUUCCACCGGCCUGGAGGACUGUCUUCCUCCAUGAACGUAGACUCAAGAGUGCGGCGACUUGCUUGGGUUUGUCUGUACCUGCCAGAGCCCAGCAUGGUGCAACGAGCAAAUGUGCAUCGAGCACUGGAAUAGCUGCAUUUUCAUCUCUGCAGGUCUCCAAGGGCAGGCGGGUCUGAGCCCAGGCACCCAGCACGUUGGCCUCUUCCAUCUCUAGGGACCACUCCACAGGAAGGGCAGGCAGGUGAAGACGGGCCCUGCCAUUGGCGGCUCUCUGGGAGUCCCUUUAAGCCCCGCCCCCCCGGGGGAACUAACAGGCACACAGUGCGCUCCUGGGCACCACCCCCAUGAGGGCAAACUUUGUCCAGUGGUGCACUGCAUGGCCAGAACCCAAGGUUAGCCCAAGUCCAUGCUGCCCAGAGCCCUCUCCUGAGCUGGCACUGGCCAACCUCGCUUCUUAGGGGCUGAGGACAAGAUUCUGCUCGAUUAGGGAUUCCAGGGCCUGGACUUGCGGUCCUGCUCCAAGAGUGACCUCUCACCUGAUGGCUUCUGACCAAGUAACUUUCCUGCACACACUGUCACAAAAUACAACGUGAGGCCGAGAGGAAUCACCUUGGGCAAAGGCGUGGGGGGGGUCAUCCGACCCCCACGAGUAAAUCACAACGCAUGGAGAAGAUACCUGGUUCCAAUUAAUGGUUUAUUUCCACCUGUAACACUAGCAGAGGAGUCCAAAACAGAGACAUACAUGGAUAUAGUUUAAAUGUAACAAAGAUUUGAACUAUGUACACUGAGGAUUUUCCAUUCCGACCCUUUCCUAUUUUGCAGUUUCUGAAUAUGCAGAAACUAAACAUUUUUUCCCAAGUUAAUUUAGUAUGAAGGAAUACAAUUGUUAUGCUCAACCAUUUGUUCGUAAGCAAAAAACAUAAGCGAUUUUGACUGGGUGGCUGUCUGGGCUCCUGAAGUCUGGGUACUGUUAGAACAUGAAGAGUGCUCCGCGGAGCCCAGAAGGAACCCAGGGGCAAUGAUGUCCAAUCCAAGGGCAGACACGACACAUCACAGUGAUGAGAACUCAGGUCUCGCCCUCGACUCCAAGUAGAAAAUAUUUCUUUCAUCAAAUGCACUGCAGUUAAGUCAGAAUGAAGAAUAAAACAACUUUCUUUCAUAGAGGGACACUCCUUUAGCCCCAUUUAAAGUGAAUUCUGUGCCGAGUCCUUGCUCCUCCAGGAUAAGCUGAAGGUCCGUUAUUGCAAAGCCAGAGGAGGCCCCUUCCACCGCGGAGACGCGACACGCAAAGGGCUGUUGAUUUGGCCCAGAGCCCUCUGAGGGAGGAGGGUGCGGA